UACGUAGGGUGCAAGCGUUGUCCGGAAUUAUUGGGCGUAAAGAGCUCGUAGGCGGUUUGUCGCGUCUGCUGUGAAAACUCGGGGCUUAACUCCGGGCCUGCAGUGGGUACGGGCAGACUAGAGUGCGGUAGGGGAGACUGGAAUUCCUGGUGUAGCGGUGAAAUGCGCAGAUAUCAGGAGGAACACCGGUGGCGAAGGCGGGUCACUGGACCGGAACUGACGCUGAGGCGCGAAAGCGUGGGGAGCAAACAGG
rnacentral:rRNA from 1 species